rnacentral:miRNA from 1 species
UGCUUGCGUUCUGUCUGUUCCCU